rnacentral:misc_RNA from 1 species
GUUCAUUCUCGCUCAUUCACAAGCCCCUUGUCGAGGAUAGAACGAGACUUUCAUGAGAGGAUUCUGUGUCAAGUUACAUGUGUCUAUUGCUGAUAAACCGUCUCUGUGGAAAAUUGAGUCGUCGAUCAGAACAUUCGUUCUUCUCUUUUCCUUUAUUCACAAGCGUGUCAAUCGUGUGUAUGGGCACGAGUUCCUCCCAAGAAAUGCCUCCACCAGUGGUAGUUCCGCCUGGCUCUGCUCCGCAUAGAGGAACACUAAUAUUUCUACAUGGUCUAGGCGAUACUGGAAAUAGCUGGGCAGAGAAUUUCCGCAUGCUAAAACUUCCCAACAUCAAAUGUAUAUGCCCGACAGCAGCUAUAGCACCUGUAUCUUUAAAUGGAGGUUUCCCUAUGACAUCAUGGUUUGAUAUAUAUGGUCUCUCAGCUGACAGUGCAGAAGAUGAGGAAGGCAUUAAGAAAGCCAGUAAUAUCAUUAAGUCUCUAAUUGAGGAGGAGGAGAAGGCAGGCAUCCCGUCCAAUCAGAUCGUGAUCGGGGGCUUUUCUCAAGGAGGAGCAGUGGCUCUCCACACCGCAUUCAACCUCGGCAAGCCACUAGGGGGCGUCCUGGCCCUCAGCACUUGGAUGCCUCUUCAUAAAAAGUUCAUGAAGCUGAUGGAGAAACCUGAGAGGCCAGCACCAUUCCCAAUUCUGCAAUGUCAUGGUACCCAGGACCCUCUGGUGGCCUUGACAUGGGGGGAGGCCACGCGAGAUCUCAUCAAAAUAGUCAACCCUCAACUCAUGUUUAAAACAUACCCCAUGGGACACAGCUCCUGCUCUCAGGAAAUGGUAGAUGUACAGGAAUUUUUGAAAACAACUUUACUGCCGACAGGAGCAAGUAAAUAGCAAGGGAGACAACUCUUGUGAAACUAACUUCUACCAAUAGAUUCCAUGUACAUAACCUACUGUCCUCAGCGUACCAUCACAGCUAAGCCAGACCUGUGCUGAGAUAUUAACAGUAUCUUCUCUGUUGUCAAUUGUCAAGUUUCAUGGGUUGUGAAUCAAAACUGACCAUGAACUCAAGUGUUUGUAAACUGAAAAUUAUUCACGUUGGAUCAAAGUUUAGUUUUUUGUGUGUUUUCUUUUUAAGAAAGGAUCAAAUAGGUUAUAACAUCCACAUCCGUGUCAUGUUUGAUAUGCACUAGUCCAGUGUGGGAUAACAUGCUGUAGCCCUGUGUGGGAGGUUAUCACAGUCACUCCAUGCUGGUGUGCCCGAGUCUUGUAACAGUUAUGUUCGACCAUUGUAUAAUGCUUAUUCAGCUACGCAACAUGUAAAACAAACACAUAUGACAGUUUUGAUCUCUUAUGAGAUUGACUUUCUGGUAUGAAUCCUCUCGAAAAUUAUUACCAUUUAUUAUUAAUAUUUGUGACCUGCAAGGAGAAAUGGGACCUCAGGGUGCUAUGUUACAAUUGUGCUGUGACGUCAAAAAGAAAGACGUUUGACGCCAAUUUUUUUCCAUAUAAAUGUGUUCGGACUACAAAAAUAUCUUAUUCUCUCGUUAGUUUGUAAUGUAAUAAAAACGUUAUUUCAAAACAUUUCAGCAUACAUGUCUACUUUCAAUUAAUCAGACAUUCUUUCUAAAAACUGUAAUCAUCACAUACAUCUGAGGAGGAGACUUUGCAGAAAAGGGGCGGUCGGGUAGCCUAGUGGUUAAAGCUUUCGCGUGUCACGCCGAAGACCCGGGUUCUAUUCCCGACAUGGGUACAAUGUGUGAAGCCCAUUUGUGGUGUCCCCCGCCGUGAUAUUGCUGGAAUAUUGCUAAAAGUGGCGUAAAACCAUACUCACUCACUCACUCACUCACUUUGCAGAAAAUUUAUCCAAAUGUUUUAUGCCGUGUAUCUCAAAUUUCGAAUUUGUACCGACCAAGUUUCUCAUCACCCUUUUCGUUUACCGGAUUUCGCUGGGGGGGGGUAGAUCUACGGUGUAAUUUUUUUCUGCGUUUGACGUUCGAAUUGUUUUUUCCAAAAUACUGAAUCCGCUAGUGGGGGGUGCGCAUUAUACAUGGGUGCGCACUAUACUCAAGAAAAUACUGUAAUAUAUAUGAAUUGAAGGUUAUGAAUUGUAUUUUUGUGGUCCUAGGAUACUGUAGUUUUAAAAUAUAAGUCAAAAUGUGAUUUUAUCACCCAAAAGGUCCCUAAUCUCAUGGUUUGUCACAUUUAUCAUGCAAUGAAUCAUUUCCUUUGCACAGCAUAAGCAGUGGUUAAGUCAUUUGAGUGCUCAUAAAAGGUCUGAAUUUGUAACAGCAAAUGGUCUUUAAAAAUGACCAAUGACUUGUCAGUGUUUGAAUCCAUCUCAAUGAUGAGACUUCUGUUGUGAUGUUAGAGGGUUAAACUGUUUCGUUCCAUGCUGCCAUGGGGUGUGUGUGUUUCUAUUGACUGCAAUAUUUCCUUAUCCGAGUGCUAUUUUUUUUUAAUUUGGAGUUUACUUAGGAUUUGUUUUGUGUGUGGUUGAUGGUGUAGGUGGACGCCAGCAUCCUCGUCCGAGAUCAGCAUUUACGCUGUAUUUAGGAGAUAUCUGUACAGAUUGUUUGUAAAGUUUAAAUCAUGUACAUUGUUUCAUUUCGCAACUCAUGCAGAUUGUCUAUAAGUAAUGUGGUUUAUGCAAGUUUCAAUGGUGUAAUAGUUAAUGCAAAAAAACAGUUUGUUCUAUCUGUUGAGGUAUUGUUUGUCACAAUGAGACUAGCUAGGGUCGAUAUUUAAAGCAUUACAAUGUCACAAAUGACACUUAGUAGUUGCCAUGAAUUCGGGACAACAUUCCCAUUGUUAAAGUCUUUGACAUCGAGAACAUGUGUUACUUUUUAUUUAUAAGGAACAUCUUGUGUAUGAUAAUAUUUUUUUUAUUUGGUGUAAUGUGUCGUAUGGCGUGCAUACUCAAUGCAAGCAGUAGAGCCGUUUUACAAAGAUGUGUUAACCAUGCUUUAUGUGCUGUACGGCAGAUCACGAUGUUCAGGUGUACAUUUUGAAAUGAUAGGAAGUCCAACCUGAUUAUUAUACUUUCUUUUCAAAUGAGCUUUAUAAAUUAUUUUUUAAGAAUCUUUUAAAUCAACCAAAUUAGCUGUGGUACUUAUUGUGUUCAUCAUGUCUUCAUACACAAUGACAUGCAUUUCUUACUGAUGUCCUUUUAUUACAGCCAUUUUCCACGGAAACUUUGCCAAAGCUUUGACUGCAUUUCAUCAUGUUUGAAAUUAACGUAACGAAGCUUGGCGAUGUCUGGUUAGAACUGAUUCAGUGGUGUGUGUAAGCAGUGCACAUGCCUUGUCCUCUGUGGGUAGCAACGCCUAGGCUAGGUCCAUAGGGCUGCUGUGUAAGCAGUGUAAUGCCUUGUUCUCUGUGGGUAGCAACGCCUAGGCUAGGUCCAUAGGGCUGCUGUGUAAGCAGUGUGCAUGCCUUGUCCUCUGUGGGUAGCAACGCCUAGGCUAGGUCCAUAGGGCUGCUGUAUCAUUACUGUUGUGGGGCGGUCGGGUAGCCUAGUGGUUAAAGCGUUCGCUCGUCACGCUGAAGACCCGGGUUCGAUUCCCGACAUCGGUACAAUGUGUGAAGCCCAUUUCUGAUGUCCCCCGCCGUGAUAUUGCUGGAAUAUUGCUAAAAGCGGCGGAAAACCACACUCACUCACUCAUUACUGUUGUAGCCGUCAGUCAAGCAAAGCUAGCUGUUGUAGCAACAACCUCAGUUAACAAACAUUCAGUCUGUAUGUCUCUUGAAAAUUAUUAAAUAUGUUUCUCUAUUGAUUUCAUGAUGCUUAUCCCUGUAUCACUGUUAAAAACCGGCGAUAGGUUUUCCAACUUCAAAUCUUGUCAUUUUAACUGUUAGAUGUGAAUGUCAUAGGUACCGGUACACAUCUUUAUCAGUCUGCACAGUUCGUGCACGUCAUGAAUAUCAUGCUAAUAUACUCACCGACAAAAGAAACAUGAAUACCAUACAUGUUGGUUAAUGUAUGAAGAACUACUCAUAUUCAAGAGAUGACUGUUCGAUGCACAAACGAACAUACUGGUAUGUUGUGUGAACCAACGCUCAUGAACGCAUCACAUGUGAUGUCAUAGAUUCAUUCGUCUCAUGGAGGCUUUGUGUAAAGUUGGAAUUCACGUGCAGCAUAUCGUGAUAAGAAUAAGGACACUGUGGUAACACUUAACUGAUUUUUAGUUUUGUAGUUAAUUGGUACACAUUGGAAACAUCUCUUCAACGUACAUACUUCUCUAUGUUCCUAUGGCACACAUUUCUUUUGGUGGGGAGUAUAUUUAAGAUUUAAAAGUGUUGACUGAGUUAAGAUUGUCCAUCAAAGCAUUGUCUAUCUGGAUUCACCUUGUAGCAGAUGUGCAAUAAUUGUGCUUGUUUACUGAUUGAUACAAUGUUGUAACCCCUGAUGUGUAUACUGGUAGUGGGAUGGAAGGUGUCGUGAAAGCAAUGUGCUGUCUGGCCACAUGGUGAUGGAACGUAUCUCUCACAUCAUGUGUCAGCAAGCUUGUCAAGUGUUGACUUGUAUGAAUCUUGAACCGCAUUGUACUUGAAGCUUCUUGAAUAUUGGAUGAGUAUUGACUUUGUUUUGUGUGUAUUGGAUGUGUAUGUUGGCAUACUCAGUAGCAUUAAGAUUCAUGACAUAGACGUAUCAAACAUGAUAUCCUCCUCCAAACAUGACAGCAAGCAUGUGCUAACACACCCACCGAAAAGGUUUAAAUUGAACAAAUUUUGACCACCAUCCUGAAAUUCUGAAGUGGAAUCAAGUGUUUCUUGUGAAGUGGGCUUGCCUCUUAGUCUGUCCGAGGUUUUUUGUACCUUCCUGACGGGGAACAUUUCAUCAGCACACUACUGUAGGGGGACUGUAUAUUCAAGUGGUAUUGUUUAUCAUUCCAUUCGUGACGGUUGGCACAAAGGCUGCAUGACGUCACCUUAUUAUCCCCUUGUACCCAGACACUGUCAAUUGAACUGGUUAAGAAACUAUUUACACGAAUCAGUCCCUUUUCUUCCUCCUGUAUUGUUGAUAUUGUUAAGGAAUAAAAGUUGAAAUCAG